CCUACGGGGUGCAGCAGUGGGGAAUAUUGGACAAUGGGGGCAACCCUGAUCCAGCCAUGCCGCGUGUGUGAAGAAGGCCCUCGGGUUGUAAAGCACUUUCAGUGAGGAAGAACGCCUGGUGGUUAAUACCCAUCAGGAAAGACAUCACUCACAGAAGAAGCACCGGCUAACUCCGUGCCAGCAGCCGCGGUAAUACGGAGGGUGCGAGCGUUAAUCGGAAUUACUGGGCGUAAAGCGCGCGUAGGUGGCUUGAUAAGCCGGUUGUGAAAGCCCCGGGCUCAACCUGGGAACGGCAUCCGGAACUGUCAAGCUAGAGUGCAGGAGAGGAAGGUAGAAUUCCCGGUGUAGCGGUGAAAUGCGUAGAGAUCGGGAGGAAUACCAGUGGCGAAGGCGGCCUUCUGGACUGACACUGACACUGAGGUGCGAAAGCGUGGGUAGCAAACAGGAUUAGAUACCCGUGUAGUC
rnacentral:rRNA from 1 species